rnacentral:lncRNA from 1 species
CUUGCUACCUAUAUGUGUUGUGUCAUAGUUUUAUCCCAUAUCAGGACCUGAUUCCAUUCCCAUUUCUACAAGCCACUCAGGUAACAAUCUGUAUGUUAUGCAAAUAAAAACAUGGCAUGUUUACAGCACAGGCAGAUUAUGAUGUACACUCAAGAAGUUUCACUUUCUGUAAAUGUGGGACUAGAUUGUAUUCAUCAUCUGCUAAGGGAGUUCUACUGCUAUACCUCUGGUCUUGGUUGAUGGUUUUAAUAAACAGGACCAGAAGAUGUCCAAAGCCACAAGCAUAUGGUUGUAAAAAUUGAAGACAUUUAACUCCGAAUUAAUUUCUUUUAAAAGAAGUUGUGAGAUUUGAGCAAGCCAUACAUUAGGAUCAAGUACACACAUCCGUAUACACUUUUAUCAGACUGGAAAAAAUCAGAGACUGGAGAAAAUGAGAAGGUAUUGACUCCAUUCUUUGUAUUUUCUGUUGUGAUUCCAGUCCUCACCUUCCCUUCAGUCUCCCCUUUGCUCCUCAUCUCCAUCCAUUCUUUCUUUUCUGUUAUUAGCUGUCUUUCCUGUCCCAUCUGUCUUUCCAUUUCUUUUUACCUUGCAUUCUCCUUUUCCCAUCACCCUUAGGAUACCGAGCACAUGGUAGCCACUUCUGGUCCUAUUAUCUUGAAAAUUCGAAGUCUCUUUUCUGGUUUUUCUGUCUAAUGAAGACUUGGUUGGCUUGUGGGCUCUGUAAUUAUGCUCACUGAACAAAUACCUUGAAAGGGAAACAAUUCCAAGUCAUGUAUCAAAGAUUCAAUCUGACAUGUAUUUACUAAAUGCCUGACAUGCCUAUGCAUUUUGUUUCUUCAUUGUAACAAGAGAGAAUGAAUUCAUAUUCUGUGCUGGCACUGUGCUCUGUGUGGAAAAUGCAAAAUGAAAUAAAUCACAAAAUUCUUAACUUCAAGAAUUUAUAGGGUAAUGGAGGAGAAAAGAGUAUAAAAAGAUUAGUUUCAGGGUGACAGGAGAGUGAUCUAAUAACACAAAAUUGUAACUUUAAAAAGACAAUGCAAACCAGUUACCUCUUGCUUAAUGGAGUAGAUGGGCUACAGGAAAUUUGGCAAUAAGACAAGUUUAUAUAAAUUGAAAUAUUUUCCUACAACUCCUCUAUAGAAUUGGAAAUGUUUUCCCGCAGAAAAUCUCGAUGCAAAACUCGAGAUCACAGUAAAUACUAUAUUGUGCCUAUAUCUGGCCUCCUGAAAAAGGCCAUCGCCGUUUUCAUUUGCAGUCUCCAUUCUGCCACUCGCUCUUUCUACUUGUACUUUUCUGUCUCUGAGAUUGUCACUCUAUUGGGACCAGAAGUAUUCCUUUCUUUCUUUCUGGAAUCUCCUCUCUUUUCACAUUAAGCCCUGGAGCUCAGUUUCCCUUCUUCCUUUCCAUUGAGAGCUUUAUUGCAGCUACAAGAGUCAAACAAAUGUAUUCCAGCCUAGACAGGCUCUGUGGUUUUGGAUGUGUAAGAUGAGUGACUUCCUAGCUUCAUCCUUCUAGCUCAAGAAUUGACUUGGGGAGAGGAACACCAAUAUCCAUUCAUUUAAUAAAUAUGUAUUGACUGCCUACUCUGUAGUCAGAACGCAGUCUCUAACCUCAAGAGCUUACCAUGCAGCAUAGGAAGACAAGCAUUAAAUACUUAUUUGCUAAUAACUGUGACAAGGACUACAGGGGGCAAGUAGAAGUUUCUUUAAACAGGUGUACGGGGAACAGAGUUUGUCUGGAAAACGUAAAAAGAUCAGGAAAGGCUUCCCUGAGGAGGUGAUAUUUAAACAGAGAUCUGAAGGCUAAGUAGAAGAUUGCUCCAGGCAAAGGGAAGAAUAAAGGUUUGUGGGAGGGAGGCAGGAAGAAACACAGUAGUUUUGAGGAACUGAGAGGUCAGUGGGGCCAGAGGAAAGAGAGCAAAAGGCAGAGUGAAACAGGGAGGAAUAGGAUUAAGGUCACAGGCUCUGGAAUCAAAUUUCCUGCGUUAGAAUCCUGGCCUCCCAGAUCUAAUCCUUUUGGUUCUAAAUAACAGAGAGCCUGCCUAGUUGCGGUUAAUAUAUCAAGAACAAUAGGCAGUCCAGGGUUAGUGCAAGACUUCUCUGAGUUCAGCACAGGCGUCCUUAGCUGAAGGCUUUGCUGGAAGUGGCCCUGGGGCAGGAUGGUCCCUUGGAGGCAAGAGGGAGGGGAAAGGUGCGCAAUGCCAGACUCUUUUGCCAGAAAAGUUAGAAGCUUCUCAGAAAUCCUCCAGUGGACUUCUGCCUCCGUGUCAUGGGCCUGAGCACAACCCAGAUAGUAAGGACAGCAGGGAAAGUGAGAAUGAAGAUUCACCAGCUGGGAUCAGGGAGGCGGUGCUGUGAGGAAGGAUUGGGGAUGUGUGUUGGUUCCCUCAGGAAACAGCGCCUGGCAUAAGCGCUCUCUACCUUUACCAUCUUCUGGCAAGUAAGUCGCCUUCUCCAGUUUCUCAUCUGAAAAAUGGGGACCACAAGAAUCUCCACCUGGAGGGGUUGUUCUGGGGUUAAUCAAAGGAAUGUCUGUACUCCAACCAGCCUGAGCUCUGAUGAUCUGCUUGACAGAUAUGCAGCAAUCGGGUCCUGAGGAGCUUCGUAAGCCGUGUUGAUAAUUCUGGGCUGAUCUUUAGCACCACGAGAAGAUAUGAGAAGAUUUUAAGCAGGGAGAUGGCAUGAACAUGUUUGUGUUCUCAAAAGAGCCUUCAGUUUCUCUUCUAACAGAUAUAACCCAUCAUGUGACAUUGCCAAUUGUCAGCCCAAUGCUUGGCUUACCUGUCUGCUCUUCCAUAACUUUUCAUACUUUUUGUGGCCAUCAAAGUUGUUUUAAGAUGUGUGAAAUUAGAAUCAAAUGCAGGUGUUUGACUUUGUUGUUGUUGUUAAACUUUUUAACCCUGGGGCAAUUUAAUGCCAGAAUAUCAACAGACUUUUAUCAGGAUUUCCAAUCUAUUUGGCUGAUAGUGCACCUACAGGAUAGGAAACAAAUAUUGUAAAGAUUUUACUUUGCUUACUUGAACUACUGCCCUACUCUUAAGGACCACAGCAAGCUUACAUGAU